rnacentral:lncRNA from 1 species
UAUCAUUGAUGUAUAUUGAGAUGCAAGUAUAGAGAGUUUAGAGUUUAGGAUUUAGGUUGUAAUAAUGGUACUUAGUCGGUGUUUGUGGUUUAAUAAUAAAAUUUAAGGAUAAUUGUUUAUAUACCGCUCAAAACUUCGAAAAAUAUCUCAUUUAUUCCUUUUUUUUUUUCUCUCCAAUAUACUUUUCAUACUUUCCUAUGUUAUUAUAAAAAAUAUCUCUACAGUUAUCACCCAUUAAGUUAAUUAGGAUUAAACGUGCGUUAAAUAUCUACCGGAGUUAAAACAAAAAAAAAAACCUCUUUUGCCCUUAAUUUAAAGACAAAUAAAAAAUAUUGAUAAUGGUAAAAGGGUAUAUUUGAAAAGAUCAAAAAAUAAAAUACUUUUUGUACCACUAACUUAAGGGCAAAUAAGAAAAGUUGGUGAUGGUAGAAAGGUAUAUUUGAAAAGACAAAGUAGUAAUUUUAUAGAGAUAAUAGUUAUUGCUAAUAGUUUAUUAACUGAAUUUAAUUCUAAAAAUAUAUUAGGAAUAGGUUGAAACGUAAAAAAGUUAUUUUCAAUAUUAGCCUUCUAAGAAGGAUAAAUUAGAAAAUCGAAAAUUUUUCAGAAGUAUAUAAACAAUCGCUCCAAAAUUUAAAGUAUAAAUACUUAAUAUAAUCUAAUAUUUACACCUUCUAAUAUUAUUGAUGUAUUGAGAUGCAUAUAUAGAGAGUUCAGAGUUUAGGAUUUAGGGUGUAAUAAUGGUACUUAGGAUAUAGUGAUGGUGUAUGUGGUUUAAUAAUAAAAUUUAAAGUAUAAUAAUGAUGAUGCCAUAUUAUCUACAAUAUUAUAGGGGACUCUAGAUGGGGUACCCAUAACAAUGCUCUUUUUAUAAGUAAAUGAAUAAUGUCUUAUGUGUUUCCGAGUCCUACUUGAAAAACUUAAGGGCUUAAGUGUUGGCAGCCAAGCUCCAUUACUAGAAAAACUGGAGGGCUUAAGUGUUGGCAGCCAAGCUCCACCACUAGAAAAACUGGAGGGCUCAUAGAGGCGGUUGUUGUAACCGCCUCUGCACUAUAAGUUAGAAUCACAUUAGAGGCGGUUUAAUACAACCGUCUCUAUAUCUAAAACAAAAAUUCUAAAUUUUUCCCUUCCCCCCGAACUCUGCCCAUUCCAUCUUCUCCAAAAGAAAAACCCUAAUUAAUUUCCCCCAAAACAAAUUCUCCAAUGGGUUUUUUUAGUGCAAUAGUCUUCUUCUAAAAUUUUAUUCUAAAAAUAUACCUGUUAAAUUUUUAUUUAUAAAUAUGGUCCCAUAAAAGCGGUGAAUGGUUCACUGCUUUUAAAAACGGUGAACUAUUCACCGCAUUCUUUCUUUUUUUUUUACUUCUUUUUUAUAUUUCUACGAUGGUAAAAGCGGUGAAUGGUUCACCGUCUAUAUUCAUUUUCUAUUCCUAAAAAGAAGUAAAGAAUGUAAUGAAUCAUUCACCGCAUUUAGAGAUCUAUUUUUAUAAUUUUGACUAGACAUGCAGUAAACACCAUCUUUU